CUUCUGGUAGCAGAAAGCACAAAUAACACAGUACCCAUUAUGACAUUUUAUAUAUAAAUAAUUGCUGAGUUAAUUUUUAUGAGGAAUAAUCCUUGUUCAAAAUCAAACUCCACUUAUAUUGACUCCUGAUGCAUCAUUUUAACAUGUCUUCAAAUAUUUUCUGCUUUGUCAAAAAUCAUUUUCUAACUUGAGGGACUUGCAUUACUGGAACGACUGUAGGUGAUAUCAUGAGCAAUAUGACUUGAAUGAAACAUGAAAAAGUAACCAAAAAGAAAUGCCAUAUUAUUAUAUGCAAAAAUAUGGAUCCAAAUACAAAUACAGUGAAAACAUUAUUGGACAAAAGUACCUACCAAAAUCGUAUUAUCCUUAUGUAAACAUUACACCUUAAUCUAACAAGCUUCUAUUAGCUUCAGACCCCCAUUUUCCCACUUGCGGGUCUUCUUGUGACAAGGGAGAUGAAAAUCAAGUCAAUGUUUCUUCUUGGUUAUCCAUUUUGGUUGUACCUCAUCUUCAAAUAUCUAAAAAACUUGUGCUUUAAUGAACACUAUUUUGAGUUGAGCCUUGGUAGAAAUCGUUGU
rnacentral:lncRNA from 1 species